rnacentral:ncRNA from 1 species
UUUUGUUAGGGCAUCUAUAACAGCCUCUAGUUUAGGCGGGCAACCCGGCAGGUAGACGUCCACAGGAAUUAACUUAUCAACUCCUCGAACAGUACUAUAGGAAUCUGUACUGAACAUGCCCCCUGUAAUAGUACAGGCUCCCAUAGCAAUGACGUCUAGCCAGGUUUGAAGUCAUUACCCUUAACCGUAAGGAGGGGGAUGCCUAAGGCUAGGCUUGCGACUGGAGUGAAGUCGUAACAAGGUAGCCAUACUGGAAGGUGCGGCUGGAUCACCUCCUUU